AUUGAACGCUGGCGGCAGGCCUAACACAUGCAAGUCGAACGGAGUGGCGAACGGGUGAGUAAUGUAUCGGAACGUGCCCAGUAGCGGGGGAUAACUACGCGAAAGCGUAGCUAAUACCGCAUACUAUUGGAGCGGCCGCUAUCGGAUUAGCUAGUUGGUGGGGUAACGGCUUACCAAGGCGACGAUCCGUAACUGGUUUGAGAGGACGACCAGCCACACUGGGACUGAGACACGGCCCAGACUCCUACGUGAGGCAGCAGUGGGGAAUUUUGGACAAUGGGGGAAACCCUGAUCCAGCCAUCCCGCGUGUGCGAAGAAGGCCUUCGGGUUGUAAAGCACUUUUGGUAGGAAAGCGUUACCUGCAGAAUAAGCACCGGCUAACUACGUGCCAGCAGCCGCGGUAAUAC
rnacentral:rRNA from 1 species